rnacentral:rRNA from 1 species
UACAGGGGGUGCAACCGUUGCUCGGAAUUAUUGGGCGUAAAGCGCGCGUAGGCGGUCUUGUAAGUCGGAUGUGAAAGCCCUUGGCUUAACCGAGGAAGUGCAUCCGAAACUGCAAGGCUUGAGUACGAAAGAGGAUCGCGGAAUUCCCGGUGUAGAGGUGAAAUUCGUAGAUAUCGGGAGGAACACCGGCGGCGAAGGCGGCGAUCUGGGUCGACACUGACGCUCAGGCACGAAAGCGUGGGGAGCAAACAGG